UACGUAGGGGGCUAGCGUUGUCCGGAAUCAUUGGGCGUAAAGCGCGUGUAGGCGGCUCGGUAAGUCCGCUGUGAAAGUCGGGGGCUCAACCCUCGGAUGCCGGUGGAUACUGUCGGGCUCGAGUACGGAAGAGGCGAGUGGAAUUCCUGGUGUAGCGGUGAAAUGCGCAGAUAUCAGGAGGAACACCAAUUGCGAAGGCAGCUCGCUGGGACGUUACUGACGCUGAGACGCGAAAGCGUGGGGAGCAAACAGG
rnacentral:rRNA from 1 species